rnacentral:rRNA from 1 species
AUUGAACGCUGGCGGCAGGCCUAACACAUGCAAGUCGGACGGUAGCACAGAGAGCUUGCUCUCGGGUGACGAGUGGCGGACGGGUGAGUAAUGUCUGGGGAUCUGCCCGAUAGAGGGGGAUAACCACUGGAAACGGUGGCUAAUACCGCAUAACGUCGCAAGACCAAAGAGGGGGACCUUCGGGCCUCUCAAUAUGGGAUGACCCCAGAUGGGAUUAGCUAGUAGGCGGGGUAACGGCCCACCUAGGCGACGAUCCCUAGCUGGUCUGAGAGGAUGACCAGCCACACUGGAACUGAGACACGGUCCAGACUCCUACGGGAGGCAGCAGUGGGGAAUAUUGCACAAUGGGCGCAAGCCUGAUGCAGCCAUGCCGCGUGUAUGAAGAAGGCCUUCGGGUUGUAAAGUACUUUCAGCGGGGUGGAAGGCGAUGUGGUUAAUAACCGUAUCGAUUGACGUUACCCGCAGAAGAAGCACCGGCUAACUCCGUGCCAGCCGCCGCAGUAA